rnacentral:rRNA from 1 species
UGGGGAAUAUUGGACAAUGGGCGGAAGCCUGAUCCAGCCAUGCCGCGUGUGUGAAGAAGGCCUUUUGGUUGUAAAGCACUUUAAGCGAGGAGGAGGCUACUUGGAUUAAUACUCUAGGAUAGUGGACGUUACUCGCAGAAUAAGCACCGGCUAACUCUGUGCCGCAGCCGCGGUAAUACAGAGGGUGCGAGCGUUAAUCGGAUUUACUGGGCGUAAAGCGUGCGUAGGCGGCUUCUUAAGUCGGAUGUGAAAUCCCUGAGCUUAACUUAGGAAUUGCAUUCGAUACUGGGAAGCUAGAGUAUGGGAGAGGAUGGUAGAAUUCCAGGUGUAGCGGUGAAAUGCGUAGAGAUCUGGAGGAAUACCGAUGGCGAAGGCAGCCAUCUGGCCUAAUACUGACGCUGAGGUACGAAAGCAUGGGGAGCAAACAGG